GACGUCGAACCGCGUUCCAACAGCGCUCGUGCUGUUCUCCAUGGUAACGGGGGUUAAGUAGCCACUGGAGUUGUGCUAGUAAUGUAAAGUUACUGAGUCAGUGCAGAUUACCGCAGGGACACAUACAGCCCCCGCUCCAUAUCUAACAGGGUAUGUUUCAGGUGGUGUGUUUGCAGUUGCCCAUAUCUCCAGAGGGGACUUUGUUAUUGAAUAACAUGGAGAAUUCAUUGAGAAAACAAAGAAUUACAGUUACAGUUAUUCCUGCAACAGAUGUGGCCACAGUCCACCAAUCUACAUUGCUGAUGCAAAUUGGAAAAUCGCUUUUAAUUACCAGGUACCACAAUGAACAAUCCCUAUAAAAGUACUCUGACGUACACUGCAUUUACUCCGUGGCUGGGGCAGGACACCAGACUACAUGAUGUGGUACCAAAGACAGAAAUUUUCAAAGGUCUGUCUCGGAGGGACCAUGUUGCCUCAUCAGGGGGUUGGUUGAAUGUAGAUGAAGCAGUAAGUACUACCCUACAAUGUACCUAGUUAAGAUUGUAUCUACAAUAUCUCUAAUAUUUUUUGUUGUUUCAUUCUAAUAAUGCAAAGACACGCAAAUCCUUAUAUUCUUUUUUUGUGCCCGUUUCCUUCGCUUAGCCCAGUAAAGAGGACUUGAUCAAAGCACACAAUGCUCUUGGGCUCAUUGGUAGUCGGACAGACUUGAUCAGUUGGCUUGAAGAGCUACUCCUGUACAAGGACCUGUAUCCUAAAAUGUUUGUGAAGCUUCAAAAAACUGGUGACGAUAAACAAAUCUGUUGUUACACAAACAAGCAAACUUUUAUUGUUA
rnacentral:lncRNA from 1 species